rnacentral:misc_RNA from 1 species
AAGAGUUUGGUGCCUUCGGGUACUAUCUCCAACCAAUUGUGAACCAAAUUUGUUGCCUCGACAUCCGAUGGUUAUUUGAUAUCGGUACUUAGGUACCGAAGACUUGUACCCAUCCUUCGGUUACUUUGUACCUGAAGAGUGAUGUCUGAGGAUUUUAAAACUUUUUUUAAUCAGUAUCUGAGUUAAACAAAAUAAAAACA